rnacentral:ncRNA from 2 species
CGCUCAUCGAGAGGGGCUGAGGGACCGGCCCGGUGAAGCCCCGGCAACCGUCACGGCGGUGUGGACGCCGAAGAGGCGCUGGAGUUGCGGCGCCAACGCGAGGCCACGUCGUGAUCGGUGCCAAAUCCGGCCUGCGGAAGGUCCGCGGGGAAGAUGAGGA